rnacentral:lncRNA from 1 species
UCUUGUUGAAUUUCUAGUGUAUUUAAUCGUUCGCCAAUACGAAUUGUAAAGUGAAAAUAUGCCCCAGCCCAAGCCAUUUUCGGAACGCUUCGGUUGAAAACAUACAUCUUUCUUCAUUUCUUUUUCUGUUUUUCUUAAAACAAAGACGUCAAAACUUGGAGGACCAAAUAAGAACGCUUGACGUUCAAUCGUUUCAAAAGGAAAAACGAACGUGGAAAAGUCAGAAUACUAUGUAAAUCAGCCCACUAAUUGAUGCGGAACAUGAGGAAGGAGAGUUCUGGAUGAAUUUCUUCGGUGAUUCAAAGCUCCAGCUCACUAUAACUGGUAUUCUACACCGACAGGAUAUUCCGCGCCUCUGCAUCUCAAGAGGAAGUGAAAAAAUUCAUUGGGUUCUCCGCUCAGGUGACGCAACGAAUCUGCAAGCCGUGAACAUUGAAGGUCUUGAGGAUCUGGAAGGCAGUUUAAGAUCCGUAUAAAAUAUGCGGUCAGUCGCUAUCAUAACAUCCGUUAAUGAAGGCUUGGCAUCAUUACUAGUUCUACAUCUCAUAUAUAGUCUGUUUUUAAUUUAGAAAGCACGUUGAAAUGAUCGAGUCGGAGGUUCGCAAAAAAUUGAUAAAACAAUGAAAACGGAGUUCCAAAAGUAUUUAAUAAUUAUAAUUUUAAUAAGUUAAUCAAAAUUAACCGGAGUCAGUUUUUCUCUGUUUAACGAUCAUUAGGUCAAUUUCAAAACAGUACAUGAUUGUGUCAACAGUGAUAUCUAUUCUUAUUAAAUCAUUCUUCGGACCGACUAAAUGAUAGCUCGUGAAGCCAUUGAAAGCAGUAUGCAAAGAAGGAAUUUGGAUGAUUUUGAAUUAACAUAAUGUAAUAAAAGUAUAUGGAUGAUUGAAAACAUCAUGGCAAAAAAUGUUACAAGGGUAGCCAGAAACUCCGCUUCUCACGCAGAGAUAUAGAUUAUAAUAUUAUAAAACUAAAUCCAUAAACACUGGUCGAGAAACGACUGAUUUCAAGGAAUUCAUUUGAAUUUCAGCGUUAUAAUUUACAAAAACGUAUGUCUGAACAGGUGCUGCUGCGAGGAGUUAUCGGUGAAAUGAUAUUUUGAAACGUGGUAAAAUAUGAAAACAAAAACCCCAUGCUGUGUGGAAUAAUGCAAUAAAAAAAAAAAAUCCGAAACGA